UACGUAGGGUGCAAGCGUUAAUCGGAAUUACUGGGCGUAAAGCGUGCGCAGGCGGUUUUGUAAGUCUGACGUGAAAUCCCCGGGCUCAACGUGGGAAUUGCGUUGGAGACUGCAAGGCUAGAAUCUGGCAGAGGGGGGUAGAAUUCCACGUGUAGCAGUGAAAUGCGUAGAGAUGUGGAGGAACACCGAUGGCGAAGGCAGCCCCCUGGGUCAAGAUUGACGCUCAUGCACGAAAGCGUGGGGAGCAAACAGG
rnacentral:rRNA from 1 species